rnacentral:ncRNA from 1 species
CACCGCUCCUCGCUACUACUACGAUUCAGUGGUUUAGUGAGGUCGUUGGAUUGGUGUCGUUGUAGUGGCUUUGCCGUUUUACUGAUGCUGAGAAAAUGACCUAAUUUGACUAUUUAGACGAAAUAAAAGUUUUAAAAGGGUUUCCGUAGGUGAACCUGCGGAAG